GAGGACCUACCCUACUUGGAUGAAAUGAAGAAUCCAAGCCUUCAACAAUGUCGCCUUCCAAACUCUUCAACGAUCGGAACCUCUCUGAGAUCAGUGAAGUGAGAUGAGAAUGAGCAGCGACAAUGAUAACUUCCACCCCAAACGAAGACACGAACAACAAACGAUGAAAUGGAAGCUGCGGGGUCGGUUAACUCGCCAAUCUGCCAACUUUGUGCUCAUCGCAAUCUUGGAAAACUCUCUCUAAGACCGCUUAAGGCUCUCCCUUAGUUCGUUUGAACAGGAAAAUGACAACACACCUCCUCUACUUCUCCCGACAACGAACAAGAAGAUAACCAAAAGAAAAAAUCUCGAUGGUUCUCCUACAACAGACGAAAAAAAAAGUGUUUUCUCCAGAAAACCUUUAUGAAUCUUCGUGAUAACUCUCCAACUCUCAAAGAAAA
rnacentral:misc_RNA from 1 species